rnacentral:rRNA from 1 species
AGAUUGAACGCUGGCGGCAGGCCUAACACAUGCAAGUCGAGCGGUAGAGAGGUGCUUGCAUCUCUUGAGAGCGGCGGACGGGUGAGUAAUGCCUAGGAAUCUGCCUAGUGGUGGGGGAUAACGUUCGGAAACGGACGCUAAUACCGCAUACGUCCUACGGGAGAAAGCGGGGGACCUUCGGGCCUCGCGCCAUUAGAUGAGCCUAGGUCGGAUUAGCUAGUUGGUGAGGUAAUGGCUCACCAAGGCGACGAUCCGUAACUGGUCUGAGAGGAUGAUCAGUCACACUGGAACUGAGACACGGUCCAGACUCCUACGGGAGGCAGCAGUGGGGAAUAUUGGACAAUGGGCGAAAGCCUGAUCCAGCCAUGCCGCGUGUGUGAAGAGGUCUUCGGAUUGAAAGCACGUUUAAGUUGGAGGUAAGGUUGUAACUUAAUACGUUGACAACUUUGACGUUACCGACAGAAUAAGCACCGGCUAACUUCGCGCCAGCAGCCGA